UGGCGGCACGCCUAACACAUGCAAGUCGAGCGCUCACUUCGGUGGGAGCGGCGGACGGGUUAGUAACGCGUGGGAACAUACCCUUUACUACGGAAUAGCCUUUGGAAACGAAGAGUAAUACCGUAUACGCCCUACGGGGGAAAGAUUUAUCGGUAAAGGAUUGGCCCGCGUUAGAUUAGAUAGUUGGUGGGGUAACGGCCUACCAAGUCUACGAUCUAUAGCUGGUUUGAGAGGAUGAUCAGCAACACUGGGACUGAGACGCGGCCCAGACUCCUACGGGAGGCAGCAGUGGGGAAUCUUAGACAAUGGGGGAAACCCUGAUCUAGCGAUGCCGCGUGUGUGACGAAGGCCUUAGGGUCGUAAAGCACUUUCGCCAGAGAUGAUAAUGACAGUAUCUGGUAAAGAAACCCCGGCUAACUCCGUGCCAGCAGCCGCGGUAAUACGGAGGGGGUUAGCGUUGUUCGGAAUUACUGGGCGUAAAGCGUACGUAGGCGGAUUAGUAAGUUAGAGGUGAAAUCCCAGGGCUCAACCCUGGAACUGCCUUUAAUACUGCUAGUCUAGAGUUCGAGAGAGGUGAGUGGAAUUCCAAGUGUAGAGGUGAAAUUCGUAGAUAUUUGGAGGAACACCAGUGGCGAAGGCGGCUCACUGGCUCGAUACUGACGCUGAGGUACGAAAGUGUGGGGAGCAAACAGGAUUAGAUACCCUGGUAGUCCACACCGUAAACGAUGAAUGCCAGUCGUCGGGUAGUAUACUAUUCGGUGACACACCUAACGGAGUAAGCAUUCCGCCUGGGGAGUACGGUCGCAAGAUUAAAACUCAAAGGAAUUGACGGGGGCCCGCACAAGCGGUGGAGCAUGUGGUUUAAUUCGAAC
rnacentral:rRNA from 1 species